UUCAGCACAAAGUUACGCCGAUGAUCAAUGCUAUGGUGCUAGUAUUAAUACCAAUACCAGUAUUAGAAACGAAACUAUCCAUAUUUAAAUCAGUCCGCACGCUAGUAGUCGGUCAGUUACUGAUCAAAGCAGUUCCAGGGAGGCUUUCAGUGCAGGGCCUUCUUUCUGAUAGCAAACAGGCCAGUAUUGACUCGCUUCUUUUACUGAUGUAUACUUCUGUCACCUGACUGCCAUUUUUCUUUUUUUUCUUUUUUGGUUUUUGGUUACUGCUCUUAACUAAUGAAUGUCGCUGCCUCAUUUCUUUGGUUCAUGCUGACACACACUGUGAAAGAAUGAUCACUUUAGAGGCAAAAGUACAUGAACAGAUGACUGACGAGCAGUCUGAUGGCCUGGUGAGCACUGUUCUCUCAUCAUUUCAUGAAAAAUGAUACAGAUGAAUGAUUCAGACUCGACUACAAGUGCUGAAUUUGCAUUUGGUAGCUUUUCACAGGAACUCUUAAUAUGAGGACCAAAGAGGUGUUGAUGCAAGCGAGGAAGAUCAUCGUUAGGGUGAAAAACCAAAUAUAAACCCAUCAGGAAGACAACAAGUCUUUAGGGGGGCCAAAUCAACAACUUGAUACAUUCUUAAAAAGCUAACUCAGCAACUCCAAAAGGUGUGAAAGACCACAGAAGACAGCUAAAGGAGAUGAUUGCAGGAUUUCUCCCUUGGUUAAGAACAAAACCUUCAAACAAGCAGACAGAGAAGCAGUAAAGGCCUGCCAGAGCAUCUCAAGGGAGGAAGCACAGAUUUGAUUGGGUUUUGCAUUCAAAACCAGGAGCGUCUUCCUGUGUCUGUAGAAAAAAUAUGAAUCAUUCUGGUGACAAUCAUACUGUAUGAUUAUAUAAUGGAUAAAAGGUACCUGCUCUUGACACAGGAAACAUGCUGCGUUUUUGUGUUUUGUUGCUUUGUAUGAAGGAAUGUAAUGCUUUCACUAAGCUACUGCUUUAAGGAUUUAACAUUUAUCUAACAUCAUUAUUAUUGGAUGACCAUAAAAUUCACAGCGUUCUGCUGUAGGUGCUUCAGGAUCAUACAGUAGUAGAACCUCACACUGAUGAUCUGUCCCUAUAUGCUCCCAGUCAUGCUUCUGACUUGUUCUGCUUCCUUCUGGCCACUGCAGACUCUUUUGUCUCCAGGAUUCAAGCCAGAGAUCUCUGUCUCAUUACCAGUGAUGCUCCUCCACACUGAACUGGGUCAGUUUGCAAAAUAAACCCAUGUUUCCGUCCUGCGGAAGUUUGAAGCCCACGAGUGCAGGAAGCCAAAAUGAAAGUGGUCAAGAGGUGCACUAGAAGCCAACCUGGAAAUGGAGAUAUCAAAUUUAAAUCAGCCAGAUGCUGACCUGACAUCAUUACCAUGUGCUGCUCCAUUUUGGGUUGGAUGUCACUGACUCACCAGAUGACUUGAAAUGAUCCACUUAAUGCUGCUCAGACCAGAUUUAAGCAACACUAAAUGAUUCAGCAGUUUUGGUUUGAAUUUAGACAACAGCAUUUCAAUUUUUUGUUUUUUAAAAAAAGGAAGAUUUAUGUAUGCGAGACUGUGCUCUGUUCCUCUUUUGUAGUACUUUGGUGACUACGGCUAACAGAAGGCCAUUUCUUUUUUCAAGAGAGUUUUCCACUUGGAAAUUUGUCCAUUGAAAAAAACAUGUAUUUAUAACAGCAGCAGUCAAAUCACAACAACAGU